AAAAACGUGAGGAAAGUUUUUGCAGAUAGAAUCUCAGAUUUUCGAAGGGCUUGCUGUGAAUUGUUUGGCUACAAGAUUGUCAUGGAUGAUCACCAACGACCAGAUGGGAUUCCUGUUACACAUUUUACCCUUCAGUCAAUAUAUGCUCAAAGUGACGAUGAAAAACUUCAGUUUGAGUACGAAUCAGGGAACACAAAAAUUCUGGUUGAGAUUUUCAUACAAAAGCUGAACUCUAUUCCAGCUUUUACUGCCAAUUUGACAGUCGAGUCUUUUAAUAAGAGGACAUUAACAUGAGGUAUGUAAAACAACUUUGUCUUGUUGCUUCACUAUACUUGAAUAACGGCCCAACCUCCCAGUUUCCUUCACCCAUCUAUAAUUUUGUUACUGUUGAACAAAAUUUUGCAUAGAAGGCUAAUUGUGUUGAAAACA